CCCUUAGAUGUUCUGGGCCGCACGCGCGCUACACUGAUGCAUUCAACGAGUUUCUUCCUGGUCCGAGAGGAAUGGGUAACCUUUUGAAAGUGCAUCGUGAUAGGGAUAGACUAUUCAAUUAUUGGUCUUCAACGAGGAAUUCCUAGUAGACGUAGUUCAUCAGACUGCAUCGAUUACGUCCCUGCCCUUUGUACACACCGCCCGUCGCUCCUACCGAUUGAAUGCUCAGGUGAGCCAUUCGGACUUUCAUCAUGCUGGUUUCCAGUUUUGAUGAAGGAAAGUCUUGCGAACCUUAUCAUUUAGAGGAAGGAGAGGUCGUAACA
rnacentral:rRNA from 1 species